UACGGGGGGGGCAAGCGUUGUUCGGAAUUACUGGGCGUAAAGCGCACGUAGGCGGCUUUGUAAGUUAGAGGUGAAAGCCCGGGGCUCAACUCCGGAAUUGCCUUUAAGACUGCAUCGCUCGAAUUGUGGAGAGGUAAGUGGAAUUCCGAGUGUAGAGGUGAAAUUCGUAGAUAUUCGGAAGAACACCAGUGGCGAAGGCGACUUACUGGACACAUAUUGACGCUGAGGUGCGAAAGCGUGGGGAGCAAGCAGG
rnacentral:rRNA from 1 species